rnacentral:lncRNA from 1 species
CACAAUAUCCCUCCUUUCUCCGUCUGUGUUCCACUCUCAAACCCUAAAAAUGGCAGCGGCUCCAAUUGAGUCAGUCCAGUGCUUUGGGCGCAAGAAGACUGCUGUGGCUGUCACCUACUGCAAGCGUGGAAGAGGCCUAAUCAAGAUCAAUGGAUGCCCAAUCGAACUAGUGGAGCCUGAGAUCCUCCGUUUCAAGGCUUACGAGCCAAUCCUUCUUCUUGGACGACAUCGUUUUGCCGGUGUCGACAUGCGCAUUCGCGUCAAAGGUGGUGGUCACACCUCGCAGAUCUAUGCUAUCCGUCAAAGUAUCGCUAAAGCUCUUGUCGCCUUCUAUCAGAAGUACGUUGACGAGCAGAGCAAGAAGGAAAUCAAAGAUAUUUUGGUCAGGUAUGAUAGGACUUUGCUUGUAGCUGAUCCCAGGCGAUGCGAGCCAAAGAAGUUCGGUGGUCGUGGUGCUCGCGCCAGGUUCCAGAAGAGUUACCGUUGAAUUCGGUAUUAUGCUUUUUUAUGUUUCUGUUAUUUUCCAAAGUGUUUUGAAUUAUGGAUUUUGCUAUUUGAGGACUAAAAAUGUGAUGGAUUUUUGUUGUUUUUCUCUUAGUACACCCAUUGCCUAGUUUUGUUGUUUGGAUAAUUUAAUGGUUAUAUUAUAGCUAGUUGAUUAAACUCAGUUAUGCUUUUGUCUGAUCAAAGUUAAUAGCUUUAUGGUGUUUAGAGUAUUAAUGGUUUGGUUUAUAUACGGUUUGCUGGGUUUUGAUUCUAAAACAUGAAAUGGCAAGAAUAAAUUUUUUUUAAUGGGUUUUUUCUUACAAUUGAAAAAAAAAAAAAAGAAAGCCAUUCGAGCUUCAUUAGCAUUUUUGGCUCUUUUUUUUUUUUUUUUUUUUUUUUUUAUCAUAAUCUGGAUUAUGAUGCUUAUUGUGUUCCCUCCUCGUAGCUUGGAACUGGAGUAAAUUCUGAAUGUAAGAAGAAUCCUUUAAUUUGGUGAAAUUAUUUUUGUUCAAUUUUGUUAAUAGGCAACACGAGUAAAUUCUCCCUGCUGCUUCAACCUAGGGUUAGAUAGAAAUCCCUUGAUUGAAAAUUAAAACUUUGUAGUACUUGUUUUCCUUGUUUAAAUUGGAAAACAAAGAAAUUGGGAAAACAGGUACCAACAAAACUAUGGGAAAGAGAUGAUGAAACUUUUCUUCAUAUUAUCAUUUUGUAUUCUCAAUAAGUUCUGGCAACAAAUGUUGUUGUAUCUAUGUACAGAUUCUUGAAACUAGGGAUUAUAUAACUAUAAUCAUGGAUUUGGAUUUUACAACUAUAAAUAUAGAACUCCUUGAAGGGACCAGAAUCACGGAUUAGUUCCAUUACAAGAUGUACCUGCAAGUCAUUAAUCAUACAGACACCAUAAAAUUAAAAACUUAUUGAUGUCUGUAACAACUAUGGCAAGAAGAUUAGAAGACCCACAGAUUGAUUGCUUGAAUGAUUUCCAAAGUAUGAGUUUUUUCAGUCAUAAUAAACUUUUGACAGUAUAUUAUAUUGAUAGUUUAACCCUGUACCUUAAUUCCCAAAGAAGGGAAAAGAUCGCAACAAAACUAACAAGCAUGAGUGGUAAAAUACAUAUGGCGAUCGAGCUAUGGCCUCGAGUUAAUCUUGAGGGUGGAGAAAUUUGAUGACAGGAUAUGGAUGGAAUCCAAUUGUACAAAAGCAUACUGAAAAUUAUAUAAUGUGUACAAGAAAACUUUUAUCUUAAAAUACUCAUUUUCUCUAAAGAAGUAUGUGAAAAUACUCGGCAUGAGAGCUGAACUAGGAAUCGUCAGAGUAUGAUAUGUUAUAAUGUAAACAUCAUUAAGAAAACAGCUACUGCUUUACAAAAAAAUAAUUAUGAUUUUUCCAAUGGUAAUGCAUUUCAAUCCUCUGCAAGAAUCCUUUUUCCUUCAGUUUGUGCCGCCCCUUCUCUGAGGGAAAGGUAAUGUGCAGUGAUGAAACCUGGGACUGCAAAAGUCAUGGCACCAUAUUAAUAAGAAUAUUACAUUUUAAAACAGUAAACUAAUUUUGGGUUUUACAGUAAAUGAAACAUAAAUGCUUCAAAAAUGCGAAGUAUAUAAUUUCAAAAUAACAGACUCACUGACAAGUUUUUUUUUGAAAGAAAAUGUAACAAUUAAAGGAACUAGAUGUGGUUAGCGAUCUCAAUCUCCAUAAAGGGUGAGAACACAAGUUCGAACAUCGGGAAGAACACUUUGCUGGGAAAGCUAAAAACCUUUAUAUUCUAUAGCUCAAAGGAUUAUAAACCUCCUUGUUAUACGGGGAAAAAAAAAAAGAACGCUGAAAUAAAUGCACAAAUUCCUUCAACAUUAAACUGUGAGAUGUGUGUUUCUUACAUAAGUCGCUUCAGUGAGAAACAAAUGUUUAAAUAGAAUUAGAAAGAUAGAGAGAGAGAGAGAGAGAGAGAGAGAGAGAGAGAGGAUGCUUUAUGAGAAGAAUAAAUCUUUGCAUUUGAGUUUGCUAGAUAUAACAACAUAGAAUAAAAACAUGAAUGAAAGCAGAGCUGCUAUAAUACGAUUUCACUUCCCUGGAAAUUUGCUAAAUAGAAGGAGAUCUGUUCCUCUCUGGCCUUAUGUUAAGCCCAACACCUUACCAUUUGAAACGGGCCCAACUUGUUUUAUUCUAUUUCAGAGGCCUUUUUCUAAUUAUCUAUAUUUUACCAGCAAAACGCAUCGUUUCUACAAGCCAAAACCCUAAUAGCCGCUGUAUAAAAUACGCUAUCCCUCUUUUUUCCGUCUUACAUUAUAACUAGCUGUCCUUUGUUCCACUCUCAAACCCUAACAAUGGCAGCGGCUCCAAUCGAGUCAGUCCAGUGCUUUGGACGCAAGAAGACCGCUGUGGCUGUCACCUACUGCAAGCGUGGAAGAGGCCUAAUCAAGAUCAAUGGAUGCCCAAUCGAGCUAGUGGAGCCUGAGAUCCUCCGUUUCAAGGCAUAUGAGCCUAUCCUUCUUCUUGGACGACACCGUUUUGCUGGCGUCGACAUGCGCAUUCGCGUCAAAGGUGGUGGUCACACCUCGCAGAUCUAUGCUAUCCGUCAAAGUAUCGCUAAAGCUCUUGUCGCCUUCUAUCAGAAGUACGUCGACGAGCAGAGCAAGAAGGAAAUAAAAGAUAUUUUGGUCAGGUAUGAUAGGACUUUGCUUGUAGCUGAUCCCAGACG